rnacentral:rRNA from 1 species
UCGAUUUCUUCGGAAUGAAGUUUUAGUGACUGAGUGGCGGACGGGUGAGUAACGCGUAGGUAACCUGCCUUGUAGCGGGGGAUAACUAUUGGAAACGGCUGCUAAUACCGCAUAACACAAGUAAUUCGCAUGAAUAACUUGCCAAAGAUUUCAUCGGUGUGAGAUGGACCCGCGUCUGAUUAGCUAGUUGGCAGGGCAACGGCCUACCAAGGCGACGAUCAGUAGCCGACCUGAGAGGGUGACCGGCCACAUUGGGACUGAGACACGGCCCAAACUCC